rnacentral:rRNA from 1 species
CCUACGGGAGGCUGCAGUGAGGAAUAUUAGUCAAUGGGCGGAAGCCUGAACCAGCCAAGUAGCGUGCAGGAUGACGGCCCUACGGGUUGUAAACUGCUUUUAUACGGGAAUAACGCGCCUUACGUGUAGUGCUUUGCAUGUACCGUAUGAAUAAGGACCGGCUAAUUCCGUGCCAUCAGCCGCGGUAAUACGGAAGGUCCGGGCGUUAUCCGGAUUUAUUGGGUUUAAAGGGAGCGUAGGCCGCAUGUCAAGCGUGCUGUGAAAUGUCCGGGCUCAACCCGGGCCUUGAAGCGCGAACUGGUGUGAUUGAGUCCGCGGAAAGCAGGCGGAAUUCGUCGUGGAGCGGUGAAAUGCUGAGAGAUGACGAAGAA